AUUGAACGCUGGCGGCAGGCCUAACACAUGCAAGUCGAACGAGUGGCGGACGGGUGAGUAAUGUCUGGGAAACUGCCUGAAGGAGGGGGAUAACUACUGGAAACGGUAGCUAAUACCGCAUAACAUCAGAUGUGCCCAGAUGGGAUUGGCUUGUUGGUGGGGUAACGGCUCACCAAGGCGACGAUCCCUAGCUGGUCUGAGAGGGUGACCAGCCACACUGGAACGUAGACACGGUCCAGACUCCGACGGGAGGGAGCAGUGGGGAAUAUUGCACAAUGGGCGCAAGCCGGAUGCAGCCAUGCCGCGUGUAGGAAGAAGGCCUUCGGGUUGUAAAGUACUUGCAGCGGGGAGGCGUUACCCGCAGAAGAAGCACCGGCUAACGCCGUGCCAGCAGCCGCGGUAAUAC
rnacentral:rRNA from 1 species